AUUGAACGCUGGCGGCAUGCCUUACACAUGCAAGUCGAACGGCAGCACGGGUGCUUGCACCUGGUGGCGAGUGGCGAACGGGUGAGUAAUACAUCGGAACGUACCUUAUCGUGGGGGAUAACGCAGCGAAAGCUGUGCUAAUACCGCAUACGCCCUGAGGGGGAAAGCGGGGGAUCGCAAGACCUCGCGCGAUUAGAGCGGCCGAUGCCUGAUUAGCUUGUUGGUGGGGUAAAAGCCCACCAAGGCGACGAUCAGUAGCUGGCCUGAGAGGACGAUCAGCCACACUGGGACUGAGACACGGCCCAGACUCCUACGGGAGGCAGCAGUGGGGAAUUUUGGACAAUGGGGGCAACCCUGAUCCAGCAAUGCCGCGUGAGUGAAGAAGGCCUUCGGGUUGUAAAGCUCUUUUGUCAGGGAAGGAACACCGGCUCUAACACAGUCCGGGAAUGACGGUACCUGAAGAAUAAGCACCGGCUAACUACGUGCCAGCAGCCGCCGUAA
rnacentral:rRNA from 1 species